UACAGAGGGUGCGAGCGUUAAUCGGAAUUACUGGGCGUAAAGCGUGCGUAGACGGUCAAGUAAGUCGGGUGUGAAAGCCCCGGGCUCAACCUGGGAAUUGCAUUCGAGACUGCGUGGCUAGGGUGCGGAAGAGGGAAGCGGAAUUUCCGGUGUAGCGGUGAAAUGCGUAGAUAUCGGAAGGAACACCAGUGGCGAAAGCGGCUUCCUGGUCCAGCACCGACGUUCAGGCACGAAAGCGUGGGGAGCAAACAG
rnacentral:rRNA from 1 species